GUUACUCGAGAGAGCGCCUUUCUUUACAAGAUCCCUCCCACCACUCAUUAAGAUAAUCAGGAGGGGUCUGUCUUCAGAUGCUACCAGUUCAUCUGGUGGUGACCUGGGAUUGGGUCUUCUCAGUUGUCACCCCUAGGUUGUGGAACAUGUUCCCUAUGGAUAUCUAUCUAUUAUAGUAAUUCUCCUGGGUGUGCUUUGGAAUGUGCAUCCCAGCACCCAGCUGAUUGGCUGGGUGGUGGAGGCGCCUCAUCGGCUGAGGCCCACCCAGGAGAAUUGGCGGGCCCGGCCACAGUGGUUGUGGCGGGCCUGGCCACAGAGGCUAGGCAAGGCGGGCCAUGGAGGCGAGGCAAGGCGGCGGCAGGCCUGGCCGCUGAGGCGAGGCGAGGCAAGGCAGGCCGGGCCGCUGAGGCGAGGCAAGGCGGGCCCGGCUGCAGCAGCGGCACCUUGACUGCCACAGCGGCACUUGGCUGGCCCGCCUGGGCCCAGCCAGAGACUGGGGCAGGUGCGGGGGAAAGAGGUUGCUCCAAACUGAGAUUUUAUACUCACGCUCUUUUGAUUACAUCUCAACAAAAUUGUUUUUCCAAUUAUUAAAUGCGAACACCACAUAUUAUAAAGCAUCAAAAGUGGGAUGAGUGGUGAGGUGAUAAAAAUGAACAGGCGGUGAUGUGAAGAUAAGAGUUUCUGCUGAAGCAAUCACACAACUAAUUAAACAGGAACCAGACAAGGCGCAAAUCCAGCAAGGUUCACCACGGUGGUCAAAAAGGCACUGAGAUAAGUAGAACUCUGUUGCAGAAGAGCAUGCUCCAGAUGCGGAGGGUGGUACCUCAGAGCACUUUGAGCAGCUUGAAAUCCUUCCAUGGGGACUACUGCGCAGGCGCAAAGCCCAAAUUGUGAAGGAUACCAAAUAACCACUAAGAUCAAAAGCUGCCAGUAGCAUCAUCUGUUCACUGGGGAAUUAAAUAUGCAUUUCAAGCUAAUGCUCUUCCACAGGAUCAGACUAAAAUCUGGAUAACAUUUUCAUGCAAAACUCUGUAAUUAACAGAGAAAACCCCUUCAUCUACAUGGCCUUGCCCAUGCCAGCCAAAAGCCUUCCUCACAAGAUUUAGGAUUGGAAAGAAUCUUCUUCAAGGAAGUAAGGACUGUACCUGUAGCUUUAUUGUUUUAUAGCAAUUGUUUAACUAUGUUCUAGAAAAUUCUGUAUUCACAACUAGUAAAGACAUAUUAUACA